CCUUGUACACACCGCCCGUCACACCAUGGGAGUUGGCUGUACCAGAAGCAGGUAGCCUAACCGAAAGGGGGGCGCCUACCACGGUAUGGUCAAUGACUGGGGUG
rnacentral:rRNA from 1 species